rnacentral:lncRNA from 1 species
GGGCUGAUGGCAGAAAGCGGCGGAAGUGGUCAUGUGUGCUUCGUGACCACAUACCUCCAAGAGUGGGAAGAUGGCUUUGCAAACCCUUUUGUGGCUUCCACCAGAAAAGUGUAUGAACAAAAUUUAGUGCAAUUGUCGGUUCCACCACCCUGUGCACCGCCUAUGCUGAAUGGACCCAGAAAGCCGGACGGAUCUAAGGACAAGGAUGACAGUGAAGAGCUUAUUAUCCCUUUGAAAGGAGAUCUCAGACUCUCAAUAGAAAAAAGCAAGGAUUCCAAAAAAAACCCAGUCUUUGAAAUUCAAGAGAAGCAGGAAGACAUGCUGAAACCAAAGUCUGGUUGUAAUAAUUUCAAGAUGCUAAGAAAGUUGGAGAGAAAGCUAUGCCUGAACCCCGGGGCUCUGGAUUCCCCCAAGUCCAAGGAUGAGAAGUCCCAGGACAGGAAGCAGGAAGGUAGAAAGCAGCUGCUCUUCCAUGGCUUCCCGUAACCAUAGGCUUGGCCCACAUGUUGGGAUCAAACUCAGGACCUUGCACUUGCGAGGAAGCUGCUCAUGUUUCCACAGAUGUUCUGCCAGAGCACAGAACACCAGGAUCAAAAGUAGGACUAUUCCCCAAGAGAAGGAGCCCUGUAUGGGGGGCCCGAGUGGCGUCGGGGGCCUGUUCCCACUGUGCCUGCAGCUUGCCGUCCUCGGCAUCCUCAUCAUCGUGGUGUUCGUCUACAUCACCAUGGAGAAGAAGCCACUCUUCGGUUAGGCGCCUGAGGAGCAAAGCAAUGCACCACACCUCAGGUCACCCCGCCAAGCCCUUCUGCUCUGGGGAGGAACCCAGAGUUAGCUGAAGGGGCUGUGGCUCUUGGAACCAGUCCCCUGGUCCUGUGCUGGGUGGAUGCAGCCAGGCCUGGGCACAGCCAGGUGAGAGAGAAGCAGGCUGCUGUGUCAAGACAGUGAUGGUCAGCAAAUCCCCUGAGCAAUGUAAGUCAUUGCUAAAGGUACUUCCACGUAAAGCAGACUUCCAAACAAGAAACUGUCUGAUGUGUUCCUCUUCUUUUCUCUUUCUCUCUCUCUCCCUUUCACUCUUUUUUUUUCUUUCCA